rnacentral:rRNA from 1 species
CAAUAGCGUAUAUUAAAGUUGUUGCAGUUAGAACGCUCGUAGUCGGAUUUCGGGGCGGGCCGACCGGUCUGCCGAUGGGUAUGCACUGGUCGGCGCGUCCUUCCUUCCGGAGACCGUCCCUACUCUUAACUGAGCGGGGGCGGGAGACGGGACUUUUACUUUGAAAAAAUCAGAGUGUUUCAAGCAGGCAGCUCGCUCUUGCAUGGAUUAGCAAGGGAUAAUGAAAUAGGACUUUGGUGCUAUUUUGUUGGUUUCGAACACCGAAGUAAUGAUGAGAAGGGACAGUCAGGGGCACUCGUAUUCCGCCGAGAGAGGUGAAAUUCUCAGACCAGCGGAAGACGAACCACUGCGAAAGCAUUUGCCAGGGAUGUUUUCACUGA